rnacentral:misc_RNA from 1 species
AACGCACGAGACCUGCGGACCUGCGGAAGGAUCAUUACCGAGUUAUACAACUCCCAAACCCACUGUGAACCUUACCUCAGUUGCCUCGGCGGGAACGCCCCGGCCGCCUGCCCCCGCGCCGGCGCCGGACCCAGGCGCCCGCCGCAGGGACCCCAAACUCUCUUGCAUUACGCCCAGCGGGCGGAAUUUCUUCUCUGAGUUGCACAAGCAAAAACAAAUGAAUCAAAACUUUCAACAACG